ACUCAAAGGAAUUGACGGGGGCCCGCACAAGCAGUGGAGUAUGUGGUUUAAUUCGAAGCAACGCGAAGAACCUUACCAGGGAUUGACAUGUACAGGAAAACUUAAGAGAUUAAGUCUCUCUUCGGAGUCUGUACACAGGUGGUGCAUGGUUGUCGUCAGCUCGUGUCGUGAGAUGUUGGGUUAAGUCCCGCAACGAGCGCAACCCCUAUUGUUAGUUGCCAGCAGGUAGAGCUGGGCACUCUAGCGAGACAGCCGUAGAUAAUACGGAGGAAGGUGGGGACGACGUCAAAUCAUCAUGCCCUAUAUAUCCUGGGCUACACACGUACUACAAUGGCCGUAACAAAGGGAAGCGAAAUAGUGAUAUGGAGCGGAACCCAAAAAGCGGUCUCAGUUCGGAUUGAAGGCUGAAAUUCGCCUUCAUGAAGCCGGAAUUGCUAGUAAUGGCAGGUCAGCAUACUGCCGUGAAUACGUUCCCGGGCCUUGUACACACCGCCCGU
rnacentral:rRNA from 1 species